rnacentral:tRNA from 1 species
GCCCGUCUGGCUCAGUGGUUGGAGCGUUGGCCAGAGGACCGAAGAGUCAUGGGUUUGAUUCCCAGUCAAGGGCA